rnacentral:rRNA from 1 species
UACGAAGGGGGCUAGCGUUGCUCGGAAUCACUGGGCGUAAAGGGUGCGUAGGCGGGUCUUUAAGUCAGGGGUGAAAUCCUGGAGCUCAACUCCAGAACUGCCUUUGAUACUGAAAAUCUUGAGUUCGGGAGAGGUGAGUGGAACUGCGAGUGUAGAGGUGAAAUUCGUAGAUAUUCGCAAGAACACCAGUGGCGAAGGCGGCUCACUGGCCCGAUACUGACGCUGAGGCACGAAAGCGUGGGGAGCAAACAGGG